GCCGAAGUGGUGAAACUGGCAGACGCGCACGGUUCAGGGCCGUGUGGGCUUACGCCCGUGUGGGUUCGAAUCCCACCUUCGGCACAA
rnacentral:tRNA from 1 species